rnacentral:rRNA from 1 species
AUGAAUUUCAAUUCUGCAUCGGAGUAUUCAUUUAAUGAACUUUACCCGUCUUUUUUUCAGGUUCUCUCUGUGGUUGAAAUUUGGCAAGAUGAAGUUGUUCCUAUGGUAUCUGUCAUGAAAAUUAAAAUGACACCUUUGGAGUCUUGUGCUGACAUGGGUGGUUUAGAUGCUCAAAUUCAAGAGAUCAAAGAAGCAGCUGAACUUCCUGAGCUAUAUGAGGACAUUGGAUUCAGGCCUCCGAAGGGAGUCAUACUGUAUGGGGAACAGGGAAAGCUUUACUUGCAAAGGUUUUGUCUUUUAAUCACUUCCAUUUGGCUCUGA